UACGUAGGGGGGCAAGCGUUGUCCGGAAUCAUUGGGCGUAAAGCGCGUGUAGGCGGCUCGGUAAGUCCGCUCUGAAAGUCCGGGGCUCAACCCCGGGAGGCGGGUGGAUACUGUCGAGCUCGAGUCCGGAAGAGGCGAGUGGAAUUCCUGGUGUAGCGGUGAAAUGUGUAGAGAUCGGGAGGAACACCGGUGGCGAAGGCGGGUCUCUGGGCAUU
rnacentral:rRNA from 1 species